AUCCUGUGACCGUUUUCAGAGAUUGUCGAAGAUGGUGUAGGCGUCGUUGAGAAGCGUCACCAGCUCCAUAGGUUUUACCCGGCUGCAGAUGUCCGUGAAGCCCACGAUGUUGCAGAACAACACGCUCACUUCUUGGAAGAUCUGUGAAACGUUACCAGGGAAGCGCGAGGUUCCGUCGCUCCACCUGGGCUGUCUGAGAUCAGCUCGAACACGUUGUUGGAAUGUAAGAGUACCUGGGGACAUCAUCAUUUGGAUGUUACAACGAACAAACAUUCAAACAUUCGACAUUAUACAGCACGAUUAAUG